GGGCCCGCACAAGCGGCGGAGCAUGUUGCUUAAUUCGAGGCAACGCGAAGAACCUUACCAGGGUUUGACAUCCUGCGAAUCUCUUGGAAACAGGAGAGUGCCUUCGGGAACGCAGUGACAGGUGGUGCAUGGCUGUCGUCAGCUCGUGUCGUGAGAUGUUGGGUUAAGUCCCGCAACGAGCGCAACCCACGUCUUUAGUUGCCAGCAUUUAGUUGGGCACUCUAGAGAGACUGCCGGUGAUAAACCGGAGGAAGGUGUGGAUGACGUCAAGUCAUCAUGCCCCUUACAUCCUGGGCUACACACGUACUACAAUGCUACGGACAAAGAGCAGCAAGUUCGCGAGGACAAGCAAAUCUCAUAAACCGUGGCUCAGUUCAGAUCGUAGGCUGCAACUCGCCUACGUGAAGGAGGAAUCGCCAGUAAUCG
rnacentral:rRNA from 1 species